rnacentral:piRNA from 1 species
AUGAGUCAGAACAUUGUGAGGCGUG